CCUACGGGAGGCAGCAGUGGGGAAUAUUGCACAAUGGGGGAAACCCUGAUGCAGCAACGCCGCGUGAGUGAAGAAGUAUUUCGGUAUGUAAAGCUCUAUCAGCAGGGAAGAAGAUGACGGUACCUGAUUAAGAAGCCCCGGCUAACUACGUGCCAGCAGCCGCGGUAAUACGUAGGGGGCAAGCGUUAUCCGGAUUUACUGGGUGUAAAGGGAGCGUAGGCGGCAGUGCAAGUCUGGCGUGAAAUCCCGGGGCCCAACCCCGGAACUGCGCGGGAAACUGGGCGGCUUGAGUGCUGGAGAGGCAGGCGGAAUUCGUGGUGUAGCGGUGAAAUGCUUAGAUAUCAGGAGGAACACCGAUUGCGAAGGCAGCCUGCUGGAGUGCAACUGACGUUGAGGCCCGAAAGCGUGGGUAGCGAACAGGAUUAGAUACCCGGGUAGUC
rnacentral:rRNA from 1 species